rnacentral:rRNA from 1 species
AUGCCGAACAAGCGUCAGCGGGAGGCGCGGAAGCGCUUCCGCGAGGCGAACCCCGGCCUCUGUCCGCCCGCGCCCGCCCCUCCGGCCGACGGCACCAAGAAGAAGAAGAGCAAGAAGAGCUUGUUCAAGAAGGUGAAGAAGGCGGGAGCCGGCGGCGGAGUAGGAGGAGCGGGGAGGUCGAAGCACCCGCUGCGGGUUCCCGGGAUGCGGCCCGGGGAGCAGUGCUUCAUCUGCAAGGGCACCGACCACGCGGCCAAGAACUGCCCCGAGAAGUCCUAUUGGGACAAGAACAAGAUUUGCUUGCUCUGCAGGGAGCGAGGGCAUAGUAUGAAGAACUGCCCUGACAAAGGUGAUGGGGAUCUGAAGAAAUUCUGCUAUAACUGUGGUGAAUCUGGGCAUUCCCUUUCCAAGUGCCCGAAGCCCAUUGAAAAUGGCGGCACAAACUUUGCGAGCUGCUUUGUCUGCAAACAGCAGGGACAUUUGAGCAAGGAUUGCCCUGAAAAUACACACGGCAUUUAUCCCAAGGGUGGUUGCUGUAAGAUAUGUGGUGAAGUUACACACUUGGCAAGGCAUUGCCCGAACAAACGGCAACAGUACUUCGAAUCCUCGGUGGAUGAUGGUAUGAAUAUGGAGGGAGACUACCAGGAAGACCAUACUCUGCAUGGUGGAGACGAUCUUGAAGAUGAUUUCAUUGAUGAAGAAGAGGUGAAAACCACCAAAACAAUUAAAGCAAAGCAACCUAGCAGCGGCGAGAAGAGUACCAGCUCAAAGUCAAAAGGAAAACAAGCUCCAAAAGUUGUAAAAUUCUUUGGUUAA